rnacentral:rRNA from 1 species
AUUGAACGCUGGCGGCAUGCCUUACACAUGCAAGUCGAACGGUAACAGGUCUUCGGAUGCUGACGAGUGGCGAACGGGUGAGUAAUACAUCGGAACGUGCCCGUUCGUGGGGGAUAACGAAGCGAAAGCUUUGCUAAUACCGCAUAAGAUCUACGGAUGAAAGCAGGGGACCGCAAGGCCUUGCGCGAACGGAGCGGCCGAUGGCAGAUUAGGUAGUUGGUGGGAUAAAAGCUUACCAAGCCGACGAUCUGUAGCUGGUCUGAGAGGACGACCAGCCACACUGGGACUGAGACACGGCCCAGACUCCUACGGGAGGCAGCAGUGGGGAAUUUUGGACAAUGGGCGAAAGCCUGAUCCAGCCAUGCCGCGUGCAGGAUGAAGGCCUUCGGGUUGUAAACUGCUUUUGUACGGAACGAAAAGACUCUGGUUAAUACCUGGGGUCCAUGACGGUACCGUAAGAAUAAGCACCGGCUAACUACGUGCCAGCCGCCGCGGUAAUAC